rnacentral:rRNA from 1 species
GUCUAUUAUGGUGAUAUUUAUAGUCUAGCCUGCUCAGUGACAUAAAAGUGUUAAAUAGCCGCGGUAUCCUGACCGUGCAAAGGUAGCAUAAUCAUUAGUUUUUUAAUUGGAAACUAGAAUGAAUGGUUGGACAAGAAAAAAACUGUCUCUUUUAUUAAAAUUGAAAUUAACUUUUAAGUGAAAAGGCUUAAAAUUUACUAAGGGGACGAUAAGACCCUAUAAAGCUUUAUAAAUUCAGGAAUUUUAGAUAUUUUAUAUAUAAAUUUAUUUUUUGAUAAUUUAUUUGGUUGGGGCGACAAGGGUAUAAUUAUAAAUAACUGCCAUUAAUGUUUAUACAUAUAUUUUUGAUUUAAAUUGAUAUAGUAGUUGAUCCUUUUUAAGGAUUUAAAGAUCAAGUUACUUUAGGGAUAACAGCGUAAUUUUUUCUGAGAGUCCUUAUCAAAGAAGAAGUUUGCGACCUCGAUGUUGAAUUAAAAUGUCUUUAUAGUGCAGCAGCUAUAAAAGAAGGUCUGUUCGACCUUUAAUUUUUU